rnacentral:rRNA from 1 species
UACCAGACUCCUACGGGAGGCAGCAGUGAGGAAUAUUGGUCAAUGGGCGGGAGCCUGAACCAGCCAAGCCGCGUGAGGGAAGAAGGUCCAGCGUAUCGUAAACCUCUUUUGUCAGGGAACAAAGGCGGGGACUAGUCCCCGGAUGAGGGUACCUGAAGAAAAAGCAUCGGCUAACUCCGUGCCAGCAGCCGCGGUAAUACGGAGGAUGCGAGCGUUAUCCGGAUUUAUUGGGUUUAAAGGGUGCGUAGGCGGAAGGUUAAGUCAGCGGUAAAAUGUCGGUGCUCAACACCGGCCUGCCGUUGAAACUGGUCUUCUUGAGUGAGCGAGAAGUAUGCGGAAUGCGUGGUGUAGCGGUGAAAUGCAUAGAUAUCACGCAGAACUCCGAUUGCGAAGGCAGCAUACCGGCGCUCAACUGACGCUGAGGCACGAAAGCGUGGGGAUCGAACAGGAUUAGAUACCCGAGUA